rnacentral:tRNA from 1 species
GGGUCGGUGGUCUAGUGUGGCUAUGAUGCUUGGUUUGGGUCCAAGACAUCGGGCGUUCAAAUCGCUCCCGGCCCACCA